rnacentral:lncRNA from 1 species
AGCAUUUGUACAACUUUAAGAAUAAAUUCUUUUUUUCUAACAGAUCAGAAUUCCUCUGCUUCUUCUUUUUAGAUGGAUAUAUGUAAAGCAAAAGGAGUAUGGCUUGUCAGUUUUCAUUUUCUGCUAAACUAAAUCAUUAACAUUUCAAGACUUUUGUUUCUCUUAUUUCUUUUUUUUUUUUUUAAUUUAUUUAUUAUUAUUAUACUUUAAGUUGUAGGGUACAUGUGCAUAACAUGCAGGUUUGUUACAUAUGUAUACUUGUGCCAUGUUAGUCUGCUGCACCCAUCAACUCGUCAUUUACAUCAGGUAUAACUCCCAAUGCAAUCCCUCCCCCCUCCCCCCUCCCCAUGAUAGGCCCCAGUGUGUGAUGUUCCCCUUCCUGAGUCCAAGUGAUCUCGUUGUUCAGUUCCCACCUAUGAGUGAGAACAUGCGGUGUUUGGUUUUCUGUUCUUGUUUGCUGAGAAUGAUGGUUUCCAGCUGCAUCCAUGUCCCUACAAAGGACACAAACUCAUCCUUUUUUAUGGCUGCAUAGUAUUCCAUGGUGUAUAUGUGCCACAUUUUCUUAAUCCAGUCUGUCACUGAUGGACAUUUGGGUUGAUUCUAAGUCUUUGCUAUUGUGAAGAGUGCCGCAAUAAACAUACGUGUGCAUGUGUCUUUAUAGCAGCAUGAUUUAUAAUCCUUUGGGUAUAUACCCAGUAAUGGGAUGGCUGGGUCAUAUGGUACAUCUAGUUCUAGAUCCUUGAGAAAUCGCCAUACUGUUUUCCAUAAUGGUUGAACUAGUUUACAAUCCCACCAACAGUGUAAAAGUGUUCCUAUUUCUCCACAUCCUCUCCAGCACCUGUUGUUUCCUAACUUUUUAAUGAUCGCCAUUCUAACUGGUGUGAGAUGGUAUCUCAUUGUGGUUUUGAUUUGCAUUUCUCUGAUGGCCAGUGAUGAUGAGCAUUUUUUCAUGUGUCUGUUGGCUGUAUGAAUGUCUUCUUUUGAGAAAUGUCUGUUCAUAUCCUUUGCCCACUUUUUGAUGGGGUUGUUUGUUUUUUUCUUGUAAAUUUGUUUGAGUUCUUUGUAGGUUCUGGAUAUUAGCCCUUUGUCAGUUGAGUAGAUUGCAAAAAUUUUCUCCCAUUCUGUAGGUUGCCUGUUCACUCUGAUGGUAGUUGCUUUUGCUGUGCAGAAGCUCUUUAGUUUAAUGAGAUCCCAUUUGUCAAUUUUGGCUUUUGCUGCCGUUGCUUUUGGUGUUUUAGACAUGAAGUCUUUGCCCAUGCCUAUGUCCUGAAUGGUACUACCUAGGUUUUCCUCUAGGGUUUUUAUGGUAUUAGGUCUAACAUUUAAGUCUCUAAUCCAUCUUGAAUUAAUUUUCGUAUAAGGAGUAAGGAAAGGAUAUCAAGGGUAUUCAGUUAGGAAGACAGGAAAGUCUUUAAACUUAACUGCUCAGCUCCUUCUAGUCAU